GGACGCAAUCAAGCAGCAGCGUGUCAGAGCACGCGAGUGACCGAGAAGCUGUACAAUCUCUCUCUCUCUCUCUCUCUCUCUCUCUCUCUCUCUCUCUCUCUCUCUCUCUCUCUGUCGCACGCGCUCUCUCUUCUAUCCCAUCUCCUCUCAGGUCCUCUCUGUGUCUCGUGCGCUCUUCCAUCGGAUCUCCUGCGUCUCGCGCUCACUGUAUCUGAGGCGCUGCUCCCAUAACCACCAAAGCGACCAGCGGAUAUUUUCUACAAACACAACCAAAUCAGCAUCAUCAUCAUCACCAUCAUCAUCAUCACCAUCAUCAUCAUCAGCAGCAGCAGCAAGAGCGAUAACCUCCCAAUCCCGCGGCGCAGCAGGACGCAGAAGCUGAGGAAUGACGUGCCCCUUCUGCACAGAGCAGAUAUUCAGCCUCAGCACGUAAAGGCAUAUCAUUUCCUAGAGGAAAGUCAACACGUCUCUCUCCUACAGCAUCACAGCCUACAGGAGACGGAGAUCGGCAAGAAGAGAAACGAGUCUGACGUUCUUGAAGAGGAGGUGAAGAAAAAGAGCCAGUCAUGUCAAACCUUGGAGAGUGAGCUCCAGAAUGUUUUGCAGAGGAAAACGCAUUUAAAUGUGCACGCACUCACCGACAUCCAGAAGACCACAGAGUGUGAGCAGGUAAGCGGCCUUGGGCUGUUCAUCCCUGGCCUCUCAGGAUCCUCUCGUCCAAUCAGAGGGCUUUCUGCGUCUCCCAGUGCAGCAUGGGAGUGACCGCCCACUCGCUCUCAGACGGAUGAGUUUAUUACGCAGGUUUAUAGAUGAUGUGUGUCAGCUGGAAGCAGAGGCAGGAAGCAAUAUACCUUCCCUCAACUCCUCCGCUAGGUGAAGUAUGAGUAUGAGUGCCUGUGGGAGGCUCUGUGUGCAGUGACUGUGGAGAGAGAUUGUGCUCUGUGGGAGAGGACUCAGCUCCAAGCCAAGCUGGAGAACCUAGAGCAGGUGCUGAA